GACGGAGGGAGCUAGUGUUAUUCGGAUUUACUGGGCGUAAAGGGCGCGUAGGCGGGCUAGUAAGUUAAAAGUAAAAUCCCAGGGCUUAACCUUGGAAUCGCUUUUAAUACUGCUAGUCUAGAGUUAAGUAGAGGGUAAUGGAAUUUCUAGUGUAGAGGUGGAAUUCUUAGAUAUUAGAAGGAACACCAGUGGCGAAAGCGAUUACCUGGGCUUUUACUGACGCUGAGGCGCGAAAGCGUGGGGAGCAAACAGG
rnacentral:rRNA from 1 species